rnacentral:rRNA from 1 species
GAUGAACGCUGACAGAAUGCUUAACACAUGCAAGUCCACUUGAACUUCGGUUUGGGUGGCGGACGGGUGAGUAACGCGUAAAGAACUUGCCUCACAGUUAGGGACAACAUUUGGAAACGAAUGCUAAUACCUGAUAUUAUGAUUUUAGGGCAUCCUAGAAUUAUGAAAGCUAUAUGCGCUGUGAGAGAGCUUUGCGUCCCAUUAGCUAGUUGGAGAGGUAACGACUCACCAAGGCGAUGAUGGGUAGCCGGCCUGAGAGGGUGAACGGCCACAAGGGGACUGAGACACGGCCCUUACUCCUACGGGAGGCAGCAGUGGGGAAUAUUGGACAAUGGACCAAGAGUCUGAUCCAGCAAUUCUGUGUGCACGAUGAAGUUUUUCGGAAUGUAAAGUGCUUUCAGCUGGGAAGAAAAAAAUGACGAUACCAACAGAAGAAGUGACGGCUAAAUACGUG